GACAGAGGGUGCAAACGUUGCUCGGAAUUACUGGGCGUAAAGCGCGUGUAGGUGGAUUGGUGUGUCAGAUGUGAAAGCCCUGGGCUCAACCCAGGAACUGCACCUGAAACUACCAGUCUUGAGUGGUGGAGAGGGAAGUGGAAUUCCUGGUGUAGAGGUGAAAUUCGCAGAUAUCAGGAGGAACACCGGUGGCGAAGGCGGGUCUCUGGGCCGAUACUGACGCUGAGGAGCGAAAGCGUGGGGAGCGAACAGG
rnacentral:rRNA from 1 species